rnacentral:rRNA from 1 species
UACGAAGGGUGCAAACGUUGCUCGGAAUUAUUGGGCGUAAAGCGCACGUAGGCGGCUUGGCAAGUCGGGUGUGAAAGCCCUCGGCUCAACCGAGGAAGUGCGCCCGAAACUGCAGAGCUUGAGUACCGGAGAGGAUGGCGGAAUUCCCCAAGUAGAGGUGAAAUUCGUAGAUAUGGGGAGGAACACCGGUGGCGAAGGCGGCAUCCUGGACCAACACUGACGCUGAGGAGCGAAAGCCAGGGGAGCAAACGGG